rnacentral:rRNA from 1 species
AGAGCGAACGCUGGCGGCAGGCUUAACACAUGCAAGUCGAGCGGGCGUAGCAAUACGUCAGCGGCAGACGGGUGAGUAACGCGUGGGAACGUACCUUUGGUUCGGAACAACACAGGGAAACUUGUGCUAAUACCGGAUAAGCCCUUACGGGGAAAGAUUUAUCGCCGAAAGAUCGGCCCGCGUCUGAUUAGCUAGUUGGUGAGGUAACGGCUCACCAAGGCGACGAUCAGUAGCUGGUCUGAGAGGAUGAUCAGCCACAUUGGGACUGAGACACGGCCCAAACUCCUACGGGAGGCAGCAGUGGGGAAUAUUGGACAAUGGGCGCAAGCCUGACGCAGCCAUGCCGCGUGGAUGAUGAAGGUCUUAGGAUUGUAAAAUCCUUUCGACCGGGACGAUAAUGACGGUACCCGGAGAAGAAGCCCGGCUAACUUCGCGCCAGCAGCCGC